CCAGGUGGCUCCAAGCCCUGUCCAACCUGGCCUUGGACACUUCCAGGGAUGGCCGUGUCUGCUUCUCUCCAUCUGCAGGCUCGGGCUGGGUGCCAGGGGGUGGAAAGAGGAGGCUGCUGCUUGGGCAUGUGAGGCACCAGAGUCGGAGAGUGGCUGGAAGGGAGGGCUGGCAAGUGAGGAAUUGCCACAGAAUCACAGGUGGCUGAGGUUGGAGGUCACCUGGUCCAAUUCCUGCUCAAGCAGGGUCAGAUGCAGCAGCUUGCCCAGAAGCACAACCAGUUGGAUUUUGAAUAUCUCCAAGGAAGGAGACUCCACAACCUCCCUGGGCAGCCUGUGCUCAGUCCUCCUCACAGGAACUAAAGUGGUUCCCUGUGUUUAGGUGGUA